UACGUAGGCAGCAAGCGUUGUUCGGAGUUACUGGGCGUAAAGGGUGCGUAGGCGGCUUUUUAAGUUUGGUGUGAAAUCUCCCGGCUCAACUGGGAGGGUGCGCCGAAUACUGAGAAGCUAGAGUGUGGGAGAGGAAAGUGGAAUUCCUGGUGUAGCGGUGAAAUGCGUAGAUAUCAGGAGGAACACCGGUGGUGUAAACGGCUUUCUGGACCGAUAACUGACGCUGAGGCACGAAAGCGUGGGUAGCAAACAGG
rnacentral:rRNA from 1 species